AUUGAACGCUGGCGGCAGGCCUAACACAUGCAAGUCGAACGAGUGGCGGACGGGUGAGUAAUGUCUGGGAAACUGCCCGAUGGAGGGGGAUAACUACUGGAAACGGUAGCUAAUACCGCAUACCAUCGGAUGUGCCCAGAUGGGAUUAGCUAGUUGGUGGGGUAAUGGCUCACCUAGGCGACGAUCCCUAGCUGGUCUGAGAGGAUGACGAGCCACACUGGAACUGAGACACGGUCCAGACUCCUACGGUGGGCAGCAGUGGGGAAUAUUGCACAAUGGGCGCAAGCCGGAUGCAGCCAUGCCGCGUGUAUGAAGAAGGCCCUCGGGUUGUAAAGUACUUUCAGCGGGGAGGCGGUACUCGCAGAAGAAGCACCGGCUAACUCCGUGCCAGCAGCCGCGGUAAUUC
rnacentral:rRNA from 1 species